rnacentral:rRNA from 1 species
CGAUGAAGAACGUAGCGAAAUGCGAUACUUGGUGUGAAUUGCAGAAUCCCGUGAACCAUCGAGUCUUUGAACGCAAGUUGCGCCUGAAGCCAUUAGGUUGAAGGCACGCCUGCCUGGGCGUCACGCAUUGCGUCACCCACUCCCCCCGUGUCCCAAGCGGGCAC